rnacentral:rRNA from 1 species
UACGGAGGGUGCGAGCGUUGUCCGGAAUCACUGGGCGUAAAGGGCGCGUAGGUGGCCUGUGGAAGUCUGCGGUGAAAGCCCGGCGCUCAACGCCGGGUCGGCCGUGGAUACUCUCGGGCUUGAGCUUACUAGAGGCAAAUGGAAUUCCGGGUGUAGCGGUGGAAUGCGUAGAGAUCCGGAAGAACACCGGUGGCGAAGGCGGUCUGCUGGGGUAAUGCUGACACUGAUGCGCGAUAGCGUGGGGAGCAAACAGG